rnacentral:rRNA from 1 species
UACGAAGGGAGCUAGCGUUGUUCGGAAUCACUGGGCGUAAAGCGCACGUAGGCGGACUUGUCAGUCAGGGGUGAAAUCCCGGGGCUCAACCUCGGAACUGCCUCUGAUACAGCAAGUCUUGAGUCCGGAAGAGGUGGGUGGAAUUCCUAGUGUAGAGGUGAAAUUCGUAGAUAUUAGGAAGAACACCGGUGGCGAAGGCGGCCCACUGGUCCGGUACUGACGCUGAGGCGCGAAAGCUAGGGGAGCGAACGGG